ensembl:lncRNA
AGACAUCACGACCAAUGCAAGACUUUAUUUUUUAUAAUUUCCUUUAACCAACAUAAUCAUUCAAGAUGGAGGACUCUGCUAUACAAUCAAAUUAGAUUUUUCAUUUGAUAAUUUUAUUGAAAACAGACAAUAUAUGGUGAGAAGAACCAUGCCGUGAGACUUGGUUUUCGAUCGUAAAUGCUUGUCUUAUAUCUUUGUAUGUUAUAGGUCUAUAUUUGAUGUAUGCUUUUAGAUCUUGCUGUUCAUGUUUUAAAGAAGGUAUUAUUUGCGUGAGAGGAACAAGAGCAAAACACAACACUUCAAAGUUAUCAAAAUAAAGUUCAUUCUUUAUUAUGAGUACUUCCUCGCUCCUGAUACAUCUGAUUUAAACUAGUAGGAGUGCUCCGCAUGCAUCUCUAGGGGGACGAAGGCGUCACCAUUAGAACAGACACAGCGCCCUCCGCUGGCAACAUACGGCAAUGCAGGCUUCAGUAUAACAAAGUAGAUCUAGACUUUUCUUUUUUUUACACAUGAAAAAAAACACGUUUUGCCUGUGUUGAGAGGACAUAUACAUAGAUGAAGAACAUACAAACAAAAGGGAAUCCGUUUAUUGUUAAUUAACAUAAAGACUUUAUUCAGACUUGUGACAAACGUAGACCUUUUCUAUAAAGAAUUCAAAAGCCCUUAACCUCCUCUUAAAAUAUUGAAUAAACGUUUCUUCCCCAAUAUAAGCCGAUAUUGAACACUGAACAAACAUUCACAAAAAUGCUCAAAUGUCAAAACUAUCCUGACACAUAACAGAGUUGAUUCAACUAUGUUCCACCCACACCCACAUCCUCAUGGACAUAUAAAACAAACCCACAAGGAGCAAAUAUAGAUUAAAUUUACACUCUUGUCUUUAAAAUAAACUAUUCCGUAACGAAUGUUGCCCCCAUGCCAAGCCUUCAAGUUUUUUUUUUCAGUCAUACAAAAUAAAGUAAAAACAGCAAGAUCGAUAGACAUUACAGUAUUUACAUUUUACUCCGUCUGACAGACUGAAGACAAAUACAUCUUAAUUUGAAUCCAAAUAUACAAGUAUCACCAAGCAAGGAUCGCUGCAGUGUGAACCUUUCUUUUCCACGCCAUUUUAUCCUUCUAUUUAACUCCACUAUACAUUAAAUUCAAGGCGGAAAGGCGCUGAACCAUCGAGGCCAUGAAUCCGCUCGUCAAUUCUAAUGAAACAUCACCCUCUACUGGCACAAUUAAGUAACGUCCUUGUUGCAGUAGCUUUCAUGACACUUCAGUGAAAAAUAAUAUAUUGGACAAGUAAUACUUUAUAGCAUUGAAGCUUUGGCGUCUGAAACUAUACGAAAUCAGAUGACAUGCAUCAGUCCAGUCGCAACAAGGGGUGGGUAUGUUGGUUAAAUACAUUGUCCCCAAUGUAAACAGAUAAAACACAAACACAUUUCUACAGGCGUGCCAAACCGCCAUUCAGGUGAAGCAUGACAAAUCAAAAUGGGUUACUGAUAUAAAAUCCCUUUUUAGACUGAAAUUAUUGAUUAAAGACCUGAAUGAGGAUGAUCACAGUUGUGUGCUGCCUGCUGUGAGUCGAAGUAUUCCCGGUCAUCGUUGUAAUGCAACAGAAGAAAAAUAAAGACUUGAAAUAUCCCCCCAAAUGUAAAAAGUAUUGAUGGUAUUUAGUCAAACGAAAAAAAAACCUAAUGGCACAUAAUGAAAACAGUAAAGUGAAACAUAAAAGUGCAAAAUUGUGCCCUCAUUCUUGAUUGCAUGUUUAUAAAACCGUGUAAUAAAAAAAACCCAAAAAAUAACUAGACGAGGGAUUGGAUGCUACAAUCGUCAAAAAGCAAAGUAGGAUGCAUGGGGGGGGGAGAUAAAGUACUGAAUGCAAUGGACCGAUGCAUAGGUGUUAUAUGACCAAUCAACAAGGGACCCCAACAGUUUGGCAUUGAUGACCGCUUCACAGCAAAUAUAUUUAAUUCAUUAUUAAUUAGCCCCUAGACUAAAAGAACACAUCUGGAGCUAAAGAAUGCAGAGCAACGGGGACCCCCAUCACCGGAGAAAGUGAAAAAGAGAACGCCAGACAUAUUAUAAGACCGACACUCAUUCGGAAAGACGUCGGUCGGAAGUUCGUGAACAUUCAAACAUAAAUGUUUGAAGAUAGACAUAAAUCCAUAAGGAUUCUUGUGCUGAAAACAAAAGACAAAUGUUCGGUUCCAAAGUAAAUUACUUUUUGGCAUCUCGUAAUGGGAAAUAUUCUCAGUUUUCAAUUGCAUAUUAAAGCACCUGGAGCAACAUCAGCGUCUCCCCUGAGCUCCCUGGCUCCACCAAAGCCCGUUCAUCAUUGGGCACCGACUGGACCAAUCGCAGACAAAGCAAGUUGCGCUUCGACCAAUCGACCCCCUGACUCUAGGCAGGGCGGAGCCAACAUCAAACCAGCGGACACUAGCACGUGAAGCCCCGCCCCAAGUUUGCAUUACUACAUAACAACCACAGUAGUAGUAGUAGUAGUAGUAGGUAGGUGGAGGUCCAUUAGUCGAGAGUUGGAUGUUAGAUAAUCCCUACGGCCCCCACGACUACUGGAGCACCCCGGCAAAACACAGGAACACCACCCGGAACCGGCAUCCCGCCCACAAAACGUCUUCUGACGACCGUCUACCGACAACAGCCAAAACCAGCCCCAAGGGGAACCCACAAAGACCACUGAUGAGAAGCUGUACGCAUGAAGAGCAAGGGGGGGGGGGGGGUUACACUAGGGUUGCAAAGGGGUGGAAUAUUUCCGGUAAAUUUCUGGAGCUUUUCGGUAUAUUACCAUGGGAAGUUAAGCUUCGGAAUUUUGGGAAUUCAAUAGGAAUUUAGGGUAAUUUAAUCUAACUUGAUCAUAUCCAAGCAUAAAUAUAUAUAUUUUUUUUUCCCCCAACUAUAUUUAAGUCCCCUGAUAAGAGCCAACAUUCAAUUUUGGAAAUUCCCGGUUUAUUCCCAUAAAUUCCCUUUAAUCCCCGUGGAAAGUUACCAUCUUUGGAAAUUCAGGGAAUUUUGCAACCCUGUUGUACACAGCAUUGUAGUCCUGGAGGGAGGUGGAGGGAGAGGAGGGGGGCUUCCAGAAGAGUCUCCUGAGGGGAGGGGCUGGAUAUAGGCCGCCCCCCCCUCCUGCCGCUCUGUUUAUAACCCAACACAAAGCAGGAGACUAAGGAGGCCGCGGCAGGACCCGGUCCAGGACCGCCUCCCCCAGCUCAUAGCUCUCUGCCCUAACCACCAGGCUGCUGGGGGGGGGUGGUCUGCUGGGGGGGGGGGUGGUCUAAACAAACAAAAACAAACAAAAUGCAUAGUUAGCCUAGUUUAACGUCAACCAACACCUUAAAACAUGGAUAUCAGGGAUGAAGAAUACUUUAGCUCACGCAAGACAAGAAACAGAACUGCUCCUUUAGCCCCCGAGCUCUUCACAAGUUCAAAACGUCAACAUCUCUUGAGUCGGGAUCGGUAGAGAACAUAACUCUGUAAAGAACCUUGACAGAAAAGCACAACAAAUAUUUUGCAUGUCUGCAUGCAGGGAACCUCUCAUGCAGCUUCCAGAGGCUGCCGCGGGAGUUCUUCUACUACGCUUUGGUCUCCUCAUGUUGAGGGCGUCGAGGUGGAAGGAGGUGAAGAAGUGCGUUUCAAUGCCCACAGUUUCAGUAAAGGGACUGUGUUCCGAUUGGGAGCUCGAGAUUCACAAGACGCCACACGCACGGCCACACUCACAUCAGCUAAUCUGCACAUCACUCUGCUGCAAGGAAGAGUCAGCAAAAAGUAUAAAUAGACUCUUAAACCCGACGACAGUGUAACGGAAAAAGGCAUAAAAAGGGCUUUAGUGUCCAGACUAACGUUAGCCUUUAGCGCCCAGGCUAAGGUUAGCCUUUAGCGCCCAGGCUAAGGUUAGCCUUUAGCGCCCAGGCUAAGGUUAGCCUUUGGUGCCCAGGCUAAGGUCAGCCUUUAGCGCCCAGGCUAAGGUCAGCCUUUAGCCCCAGGCUAAGGUCAGCCUUUAGCGCCCAGGCUAGCCUUUGGUGCCCAGGCUAAGGUCAGCCUUUAGCGCCCAGGCUAAGGUCAGCCUUUAGCCCCAGGCUAAGGUCAGCCUUUAGCGCCCAGGCUAGCCUUUGGUGCCCAGGCUAAGGUCAGCCUUUAGCGCCCAGGCUAAGGUCAGCCUUUAGCGCCCAGGCUAAGGUUAGCCUUUGGUGCCCAGGCUAAGGUUAGCCUUUUCCACUGGGAUUAUGUCAGGUAUUUUGACGGUACACACCUCCACGACCCCAGAACACCUCCACGACCCCAGAACACCUCCACGACCCCAGAACCCCUUCCUCGACCCCAGAACACCUCCUCGACCCCAGAACACCUCCUCGACCCCAGAACACCUCCACGACCCCAGAACACC